AUUCAAUGCCUUAGCUGUUAUUAAUAUAGUAAAUACUGUUAUUCUUAAUAUGUGCUCAGCAUGAACUGUUAAUGUUUAUCUUAAUGAAUAGUUAUCAGGUAUCUUAGCAGCUACAGAGGCUACCGUUCCCAUUUCACUGCUGAGCUUAUUCGUCACUGUACUUGGGUCACAUGGUUCCCAUCAGUGUAAAUUUACUAUCAAAUUUAUGGCGAAAAAAGCUUAAAGUUAUUUUGUGGUCAUUUAUUUUUCCAAAACGUAAAGUGUUUUUCGCCAAGGUCUUUUGUGUUUUUACGUGCGUUUUUAACGGCUGCAUUUGUGUACAGUGCUUAUAUUUCUCAUUAUUAAUUUGGUCUCCAGUCUGAAUUCCUUCUAAUACCACUAAAAUACCAACUAAAAACUUAUGUUUGUCCAUAUCAGUAAAUACCUCUACUGGACUGUGGGGGGAAUCCUGAGGACCCAGAGGAAGCCCCAUGACGCCAAGCAAGGAGAUACAAUUCCUCUGGCGUGUCCUGGGUCUCCCUUGGAACAGCUCCUAUGGAACAACUCCCAUGGAACAGCUCCCUUGGAACAGCUCCUAUGGAACAGCUCCCAUGGAACAGCUCCCUUGGAACAGCUCCCAUGGAACAGCUCCCAUGGAAUAGCUCCCAUGGAACAGCUCCUAUGGAACAGCUUCCUUGGAACAGCUCCCUUGGAACAGCUCCCAUGGAACAGCUCCCUUGGAACAGCUCCCUUGGAACAGCUCCCUUGGAAGCCAACCGGUUGGCUUCUGUAAUAGACACCUGAACCUCCCCAGCAAACUCUUCAGAAUCUGAAGGAGUGGCAGAUGUAUUUCAAGAUCUCGUAGACAUUGGUGAGGAUAGAGACGUGGAAUCACUGAUAGACCAUGAGUCUCAUCUCACCACGGAUCACCUGCUUCACUGACCCUGAACCUGCUAAGUGCUUGCAAACCUUCAGUUGCUGAUCUUCCUGCCAGUCUCAUGUUUCUUCUCACUAUCACCCAUGAAAAAGACCCAGGGUACAUAGACUCGCUCACUAAGGGCAGAUUAUGCGAUGAACAAUCUACUGAUUUCCAAAAGAGGACCUUGGCCUCAGAUUUGGAGAUUCUCAUACCCACUGUUACACAGUCAAUUGUCCUUUUGUUGAU